rnacentral:rRNA from 1 species
CCACCCUUUAAUGUUUGAUGUUCUAACGUGGACCCGUAAUCCGGGUUGCGGACAGUGUCUGGUGGGUAGUUUGACUGGGGCGGUCUCCUCCUAAAGAGUAACGGAGGAGCACGAAGGUUGGCUAAUCCUGGUCGGACAUCAGGAGGUUAGUGCAAUGGCAUAAGCCAGCUUGACUGCGAGCGUGACGGCGCGAGCAGGUGCGAAAGCAGGUCAUAGUGAUCCGGUGGUUCUGAAUGGAAGGGCCAUCGCUCAACGGAUAAAAGGUACUCCGGGGAUAACAGGCUGAUACCGCCCAAGAGUUCAUAUCGACGGCGGUGUUUGGCACCUCGAUGUCGGCUCAUCACAUCCUGGGGCUGAAGUAGGUCCCAAGGGUAUGGCUGUUCGCCAUUUAAAGUGGUACGCGAGCUGGGUUUAGAACGUCGUGAGACAGUUCGGUCCCUAUCUGCCGUGGGCGCUGGAGAACUGAGGGGGGCUGCUCCUAGUACGAGAGGACCGGAGUGGACGCAUCACUGGUGUUCGGGUUGUCAUGCCAAUGGCACUGCCCGGUAGCUAAAUGCGGAAGAGAUAAGUGCUGAAAGCAUCUAAGCACGAAACUUGCCCCGAGAUGAGUUCUCCCUGAGACUUAGAGUCUCCUGAAGGAACGUUGAAGACGACGACGUUGAUAGGCCGGGUGUGUAAGCGCAGCGAUGCGUUGAGCUAACCGGUACUAAUGAACCGUGAGGCUUAACCUUACA